UACGGAGGGUGCAAGCGUUAUCCGGAUUCACUGGGUUUAAAGGGUGCGUAGGUGGGUCUGUAAGUCAGUGGUGAAAUCUCCGUGCUUAACAUGGAAACUGCCAUUGAUACUAUAGAUCUUGAAUUUUCUGGAGGUAAGCGGAAUAUGUCAUGUAGCGGUGAAAUGACUUAGAUAUGACAUAGAACACCAAUUGCGAAGGCAGCUUACUACGGGAACAUUGACACUGAGGCACGAAAGCGUGGGGAUCAAACAGG
rnacentral:rRNA from 1 species